rnacentral:rRNA from 1 species
UCCGUUGGUGAACCAGCGGAGGGAUCAUUACCGAGUGUAAAAACUCCCAAACCAUUGUGAACUUACCACUGUUGCUUCGGCGGCCUCGCCCCGGGCGCGUUCGCGCGGCCCGGACCCAGGCGUCCGCCGGAGGCUCCAAACUCUUGUCUUUUAGUGUAUUUCUGAGUGGCAUAAGCAAAUAAAUCAAAACUUUCAGCAACGGAUCUCUUGGUUCUGGCAUCGAUGAAGAACGCAGCAAAAUGCGAUAAGUAAUGUGAAUUGCAGAAUUCAGUGAAUCAUCGAAUCUUUGAACGCACAUUGCGCCCGCCAGUAUUCUGGCGGGCAUGCCUGUCUGAGCGUCAUUUCAACCCUCAGGACCCGUUCGCGGGACUUGGCGUUGGGGAUCAGCCUGCCCCUGGCGGCGGCUGGCCCUGAAAUCCAGUGGCGGUUCCCCCGCGAACUCCUCCGUGCAGUAAUUAAACCUCUCGCGGCAGGAUAGCGGUUGAACCACGCCGUUAAACCCCCCACUUCUCAAGGUUGACCUCAGAUCAGGUAGGAAUACCCGCUGAACUUAAGCAUAUCAAUAAGCGGAGGA